rnacentral:lncRNA from 10 species
CUCUUAACCCUUCAGUUCCCUUGUCAUUGACCCUCACGGGCACCCAUAGCUGACCCAGUCGGCCACCGUAGUCGGCAGCUCACUAUCCUCCACUAGUCCCAGGUUUGACCGUUUCUCAAACCGUGCCUUCCCAUUUAUGCUGCAUCCGCGCCCUGAAUCUGAAAUUGGUCGUCCUGCCACGCCGCCUCACCGCGGUAUAAGGUCGUCCCAUCCUGAAUGGCCGGUGCGCAGACUCAAUUGCGACUUUGAGGCUGUCAGCCGCCACCCGGCAACCUUCCAGUGAACAGGAUUCUGGGUUUCUCAAAGCUGUAAUUGGAGGGCCACUCCAGAGGUGUUAAAGCUCCAGCACUUCGAGCCUGCCUCGUGGGAAAGUCUUAGGCUGAGUCUGUAGGUGUCUGCAGUUAAGAAGCCAGCGGUCUGCAUAUGAUUGCUCAGGGGUGGUGGCUGGGUCCAACAGCAUUCACUACAGGCCUGCCUUGAAUACCACCUAGCGCAGUGCUCCGCAUAUCACAGGUAUGGGAAGCUUUGGAUUCA